rnacentral:rRNA from 1 species
GACGAACGCUGGCGGCGUGCUUAACACAUGCCAGUCGUACGGUAAGGCCCUUUCGGGGGUACACGAGUGGCGAACGGGUGAGUAACACGUGAGUAACCUGCCCACAACUUUGGGAUAACGCUAGGAAACUGGUGCUAAUACUGGAUAUGUGCUCCUGCUGCAUGGUGGGGGUUGGAAAGCUCCGGCGGUUGUGGAUGGACUCGCGGCCUAUCAGCUUGUUGGUGGGGUAGUGGCCUACCAAGGCGGCGACGGGUAGCCGGCCUGAGAGGGUGACCGGCCACAUUGGGACUGAGAUACGGCCCAGACUCCUACGGGAGGCAGCAGUGGGGAUAUUGCACAAUGGGCGCAAGCCUGAUGCAGCAACGCCGCGUGCGGGAUGACGGCCUUCGGGUUGUAAACCGCUUUCAGCAGGGACGAAGCUUUUUGUGACGGUACCUGCAGAAGAAGCACCGGCUAACUACGUG